AGUGCGGCGCGGGCAGCUCAGCGGUGUGUACGUUUGGAGUUGUCGACAGCCGGUGUCUCACAGACAUGGCGACUCAAAGCACAGAUAGUAGGCCACCAAAACGAGACAGCAGUGGAAGAUAUACAAAUGAUGAUGAGCAGAUUGAGGAUUGGCUUAAUGAAUUAGAAGAACACGAGUUUAGCGACUUUGAUGAUUCGGUAGAAGACCCUAAUUAUGUGGAAGAAAAUGUACAGCAAGAGGAAAACGAAGAUCUCGAGGAACAGAAUACAAUCGAGUGAGAGUGAUUUUAACUCUGAAGACGAGGAGCCCCUUAGCUCUUUAGUUUGUGGUGACCAGGAUGGUUCAAACUACAUUGUAAAAACGGAUUUCUAUGGUCUAAGAAGGUCUUGUCCAGGCAUCAAGCUACCAAGCUGCGAAGAGGAGACUUUUUACUAUCUUUGGCAAGAGAAUUGGUUCUUCCUGGCUUAAACGAACGCGUUUAUAAUGACAGAUUGCCCAGACAACUCCGUCUUCCUAUAACGCGAGUUUUAGGUAAUGAUUUGCCUCCCCCUCCACCCGUGGCUCAGCUACCAGGUCCUGCAGGAAGGAAACUAUGCAGCAUAUGCCCCAGUAGAUUGAAGAGGUAAACAAGGUACCACUGUUGCGCAUGCAAAAUGCCAAUUUGUCUACAAUGUUCUUCUCCACUAUGUCAAGACUGUAAACUUACGCUUUAGAUCUAAGGUUAACUUUGAGACUGAUUUGUGCCUAAUUGAACCGUGAUAUCUUGUUGAUUUAUUUUAGAGCUAUAAGAUAAUGCUUAAAAGAUUAAUGAACAGUUUUAUAGAAGUUUUAUAAUUUCGUUUUUUUUUUUAAAUAGUUUUGUAAGUUUAAGCGUAAAAAUACUGAAAAUACUGAUCUCAAUAAAUGAUUCCAUCCUAAA